rnacentral:rRNA from 1 species
CGCAAGGCUAAAACUCAAAGGAAUUGACGGGGGCCCGCACAAGCGGCGGAGCAUGCGGAUUAAUUCGAUGCAACGCGAAGAACCUUACCAAGGCUUGACAUGAACCGGAAAGACCUGGAAACAGGUGCCCCGCUUGCGGUCGGUUUACAGGUGGUGCAUGGUUGUCGUCAGCUCGUGUCGUGAGAUGUUGGGUUAAGUCCCGCAACGAGCGCAACCCUCGUUCUAUGUUGCCAGCACGUGAUGGUGGGGACUCAUAGGAGACUGCCGGGGUCAACUCGGAGGAAGGUGGGGACGACGUCAAAUCAUCAUGCCCCUUAUGUCUUGGGCUUCACGCAUGCUACAAUGGCCGGUACAAAGGGUUGCGAUACUGUGAGGUGGAGCUAAUCCCAAAAAGCCGGUCUCAGUUCGGAUUGGGGUCUGCAACUCGACCCCAUGAAGUCGGAGUCGCUAGUAAUCGCAGAUCAGCAACGCUGCGGUGAAUACGUUCCUGGGCCUUGUACACACCGCCCGUCAAGUCACGAAAGUUGGUAACACCCGAAGCCGGUGGCCUAACCCCUUGUGGGAGGGAGCUGUCGAAGGUGGGACUGGCGAUUGGGACUAAGUCGUAACAAGGUAGCCGUACCGGAAGGUGCGGCUGGAUCACCUCCUU